UUUGAGCACAAAAUCAAACCAGCCCGCGAGCCCCAGAUUUCCAAACGAGGCAGUCAAACGAAACGGCCAAGCCCCACCCCCACGAGCCGACAGCAACGCGCCGAAGCAUCCGCCGGCCUCCGCGUUCGCUUUCCUUCCCCGCGAUCAUGGCCAGACGGCGGGAGGCCUGCGGCUCCGGCGCCCCCCUUCGAAAGGAGCCCAGGUACCCAAGCAGCCUGCGUAGCCGUGCUUCUCAUCGCCGGCUUACCCGUCCCCGACAGUGACGUCUGACAUUGCCCACCUCAAGAUAUUCAGGUUCACUUGUGAACAGUUGGUCCCAUAAGCCUGCUGGCUACUGCCUUCAGUGAGAAUUGUCACGGAGUGCAGAAUUAUUGGCAGUGCUCAUGUUUGAUGGACCGUUUCAACCUCUAGUUGUCCUCAAUGGUGUUAGUUUUUGUAUGGAAGAUGGGACCAUUCCAUCACAAAAAGGCUUGGCUCACAAUGGCCAUCAUUAUCUGAAACUUGUGGCCAUGGGGUUACUGUCUGUUUCAUCAGCUGUUGAUACUUGGUAUGGCAUCGUAUUAUGUUUUGUUCUUGUGCAUGCAAAAUGAAGAGAUCGCAAUAUAUUCAACACAGUUCAACGCAAUUCAUACAUGAAAUUUAAUUUAGACUGCGCAGGCAGUGUCAGGAUAAUCUGUGCAAUAAAGUCAUACGUGACUUGCACAAAUUUUACAACGAUUUUGUGGUUUCUUUUUGGCCUGAUCUGAAUGAUUUAACAAGGAAGCUGUAUUAAAACAAUUUUUACAACAA